rnacentral:rRNA from 1 species
GGCUAACUCCGUGCCAGCAGCCGCGGUAAUACGGAGGGUGCGAGCGUUAUCCGGAUUUAUUGGGGUUUAAAGGGUACCGUAGGCGGAUUAAUAAGUCAGUGGUGUAAAUCCCAUCGCUUAACGAUGGAACUGCCAUUGAUACUGUUAGUCUUGAAUGAGGGUGCAGUGGUUGGGAAUGUGUAGUGUAGCGGUGAAAUGCAUAGAUAUUACACAGAACACCGAUUGCGAAGGCAGAUCACUAACCCUAAAUUGACGCUGAGGGACGAAAGCGUGGGGGAGCGAACAGGAUUAGAUACCCCUGGUAG